GUUGGUGGGGUAAUGGCUUACCAAGGGUUCGAUGGGUAGCUGGUUUGAGAGGAUGAUCAGCCAAACUGGGACUGAGAAACGGCCCAGAAUCCUACGGGAGGCAGCAGUGGGGAAUAUUGGACAAUGGGGGCAACCCUGAUCCAGCCAUGCCGCGUGUGUGAAGAAGGCU
rnacentral:rRNA from 1 species